GUACAAUAAGCUAAAUAAGGGCGUAUGGAGGAUGCCUAGGCUUUCAGAGGCGAUGAAGGACGCGAUAAGCUGCGAUAA
rnacentral:rRNA from 1 species